UUUAAUUUUACAUGCCUGUUUUCAACCCUUUAUCUGACCCUCAUAUUUAAACAGGCAAUUUUUGCUGCUAUGCCUUUCAGACCUUUCAUAAAAAUGAGAUCUGUUAUCAUCUAAAUGUCCAGGCCUUUUGUCUUGGGUAUGGAUGUGGUCCAAAGCCAAAUUUGUCAACCUUAAGUUUCUGAUGGAGGAGGUGUACCAGCAGCAGGUGGUAGAAGGAGAGGGGGCAGACAGAGCUCCUUUUCCCAGGGACAGAGAUCCGUUCUGGGAAUCCUCUGGAGCCCCUGCACCUGGGAAGUGCUCACCUGUGGCUGCAGUCGCUGGCGUUUUGCAUCCCUCUGGAGGAGCAGGUGGAAGUGGUGGGUCCGGAAGGAAAAGAGGCGGCCAUACUGCAGGCACAGCUAGUGCCCUGCAGCCCAAUGGGAUUACUGCAGAAACCGGAGGCUCUGACCUCAGCUCAUCUCUCUGA
ensembl:lncRNA